UAAGAAAGUAACUAUUCAUCACAGCUGGCACUAACACCCAAUCAUCUCCAGAACGCAGCAAACAGCACGAAGUCUCAUGUGAUUAAUGUUAAAAGAUGCAUCCAGCUCUAAAAUAAAGCUGCUGCUAUCAGCUCACUGAUCUACUUGAGCCCGUGCUCUUUGUUUACCGAGUGCCUCCAACGUGAGAACUUCCGCAGUCACGACGCACUGAUGACGCGCAGUGACAAAGCCUUUCAUUGGCCCUCAGACCAUAUUUCUCUUUUGGUUCCACAUUUUUUUCUGUCUAUGUUAUUAUGCGUUUCUUUCGUGGCCCCGGGGCCUCGAAGGUUGGAGGCGGUUCAACACAAACACCUUCUGCUUCUGAUAAAAGGACUCGUUCUGUCUCGUUUCCUGGUGUGUUGAUCCACGUUUUUUUUAUUUAUUUUUUUUUAAUAAAUCUUUUAAGCCCC